GAUGAACGCUGGCGGCGUGCCUAAUACAUGCAAGUCGAGCGAACAGACGAGGAGCUUGCUCCUCUGACGUUAGCGGCGGACGGGUGAGUAACACGUGGAUAACCUACCUAUAAGACUGGGAUAACUUCGGGAAACCGGAGCUAAUACCGGAUAAUAUAUUGAACCGUAUGGUUCAAUAGUGAAAGACGGUUUUGCUGUCACUUAUAGAUGGAUCCGCGCCGCAUUAGCUAGUUGGUAAGGUAACGGCUUACCAAGGCAACGAUGCGUAGCCGACCUGAGAGGGUGAUCGGCCACACUGGAACUGGGACACGGUCCAGACUCCUACGGGAGGCAGCAGUAGGGAAUCUUCCGCAAUGGGCGAAAGCCUGACGGAGCAACGCCGCGUGAGUGAUGAAGGUCUUCGGAUCGUAAAACUCUGUUAUUAGGGAAGAACAAAUGUGUAAGUAACUAUGCACGUCUUGACGGUACCUAAUCAGAAAGCCACGGCUAACUACGUG
rnacentral:rRNA from 1 species